AACGAACGCUGGCGGCAUGCCUAACACAUGCAAGUCGAACGCCCUGGGCAACCAGGGAGUGGCGGACGGGUGAGUAACGCGUGGGGACCUGCCUCGAAGUUCGGAAUAACCGCGGGAAACUGCGGCUAAUACCGGAUGUGGCCUGAGGGCCAAAGGGGAAACUCGCUUCGAGAGGGGCCCGCGUCCGAUUAGCUAGUUGGCGGGGUAACGGCCCACCAAGGCGACGAUCGGUAGCUGGUCUGAGAGGAUGAUCAGCCACACUGGGACUGAGACACGGCCCAGACUCCUACGGGAGGCAGCAGUGGGGAAUAUUGGACAAUGGGGGCAACCCUGAUCCAGCAAUGCCGCGUGAGUGAUGAAGGCCUUCGGGUUGUAAAGCUCUUUUGGCGGGGACGAUGAUGACGGUACCCGCAGAAUAAGCCCCGGCUAACUUCGUGCCAGCCGCCGCCGUAACAC
rnacentral:rRNA from 1 species